rnacentral:rRNA from 1 species
GAUGAACGCUGGCGGCGUGCCUAAUACAUGCAAGUCGAGCGAACAGACGAGGAGCUUGCUCCUCUGACGUUAGCGGCGGACGGGUGAGUAACACGUGGAUAACCUACCUAUAAGACUGCGAUAACUUCGGGAAACCGGAGCUAAUACCGGAUAACAUGUUGAACCGCAUGGUUCAACAGUGAAAGACGGUCUUGCUGUCACUUAUAGAUGGAUCCGCGCCGCAUUAGCUAGUUGGUAAGGUAACGGCUUACCAAGGCAACGAUGCGUAGCCGACCUGAGAGGGUGAUCGGCCACACUGGAACUGAGACACGGUCCAGACUCCUACGGGAGGCAGCAGUAGGGAAUCUUCCGCAAUGGGCGAAAGCCUGACGGAGCAACGCCGCGUGAGUGAAGAAGGUCUUCGGAUCGUAAAGCUCUGUUAUUAGGGAAGAACAAAUGUGUAAGUAACUAUGCACGUCUUGACGGUACCUAAUCAGAAAGCCACGGCUAACUACGUG